GGAGAUCCCUGCAUACCUGGUGGCUUUAUGAGUCUUCUAAAGAGAGAGAUAAGCCAUUCCAGAUUUCCUUAAUUUCUCAGCCAGCUUCAAGUAUAACACACAAACCCAACUUGAUAUUGAAGGUGUGCAGAAUUCCCAAUUGACUGAGAUGCACCUAGCCCUUCUGUAUGGACCCUGUGACCGUGGAGAUUCGCAUACAAGAUCCUUAUAGACCUACCUUAAUUGGUCGGUGUUUUCCAGAGAGUUACCUACAACUCAGUGGAAUUCUUAUUUUAUGUCUUCUAACGUUCCCUUUGAUGUUGCACAAAAUGAUCUAACGGUUUUAACUACCUAUUGCUCCACACCUGUGGUUUUUUGGACUGCACAAAGCAUAGAUACCACCAGUCUUUUGUUUCCAUGUAAGUUCAUUUUAUACGCCUGUGUAGGACCUGACAAAUCGUUUAUAGGACAAUUUUCAGAACGGGUAUGCUUUCGGUUAGAGUUGUGCACAAACACCGCCUCUUACAAUUAAACCCUAGGAUUUCUACAGAACAUGUAACUCUCUGGUUAAAUCAGUAGCGUUCACAAGUCAGAACCUCAAGUGUGAAAUUGCAUGGAAAGCCCCACAUCCAUCUCCAUUUUGUUAUGUUUGUUCCAGUAUUUUGAGAGAAGUAAUGCUUCGCUCUGGACUAGGAGUGCCAUUAGCGCACUCAGCUAUGUGAUCACAGUCAGGACACUAUUCCAAAGAAUGGGGCACGCCGUGCCACGGAACACAAAGCAGAGACAUACUGCGGAAGAACAGUUCAAACACAGAAGUUUGGAUAAACCAAGCUCUUUGCAGUUCUGCACCACGCUUGCUUUAAGAUGCCAGAAGCUUCCUCCAGACAGGCCAGGUAUUCAAAACAGCCUGCUGGCAGCAAAGAGCCGACUGCCAGAAUCAGGCAAGAGGUCUGUAUUUCACAAUGAAGUUCCUGUGAUACUUCAGAUUUAUUUUUCUGCUGAAAUUUUAAAAAUAGGAUAAAAGAGGUCACGGAUACAGGUAGGCAAUCCAGCGUAGUGAGGGCUGCAGCAGAAGACAGAAUCCUGUCUGUUUUCUUCUUAUUAUGAAAUAAGAAGGGAGCUAUGAAUCAUCGCAGCAUAGACAAAUCAUCUGAGGCAUCUUCAAACAGCUGCUUGACUGACUGCUGUAAUGCUGCCUGUCAUUCAAUGAGAAGAACUGCGGCUCAUGCUUACCAGUUGAUAGAAAUGUGCCCAAAGCCAGACUGAAACCCUUAACUUCAUCAAACAAUGUGAUUUUAGAAGCUCCUCAAUUAAAGCCUCUUCCGAGCAGACGAACGGACCUCUGUGUAAGCCAGGUGGGCACCAGCAUGGCAGAUUGGAAGGAGCUGUUGGGAAGGAGCUGGAAAACAGAUGCAGAACUGCAAGGGUUCUGGGUCACCAGAGAAACUCCUAAUUCUGAACUGCUGCCAAGAUUAGCAAGUUUAGGUUGGGAACAAAAUGGAAAAGCAGAAAUGUAUUGAUGCCUGCUUCCCAGGCUUGCCAUCUCAUACAGUCAGUGCAGACAAAGCACCCCAGCAGCUGGAUCCCAGUUGAUCUGGAGCCCACCUUGAAUUUCUGGGCAUUCCCCCUUCUCAUUUGUAUUACCAUCUCAGCAUAAACAACAUCAUGUAUAAAGCCCUUCCCACAAAGCAAUGUCAUCCCCUCAAUAAAAUAAAACAGGAAUUAUGAGAAAAAUCAUGAUAUUCACAUGCGAAUAUAUUCACUUUUU